rnacentral:sRNA from 1 species
GGAGAAGAUGAUGUAGA